AUCACUGCCAGACCUAACUCCCUUCUCAGAGUGGAGGGCUCCUUGGGUUGUCCUGCACAUCGAUUUCAGGCAGCCCUUCUCUCCAGUUCACAGACCUGCAACAUAGGUCUGAAACUCACUGGAGCACACCACCGAUGUGCAGGUUGAGGCCGCUUCCUAGACAAGGAGAGAUAGCGAGAUAAAUGGAUGCUGGGGCUGUAAAGCACGGCAAAGCACAUGGCAGAGAGAGAGAGAGGAUUUUGCAGCCGUGCUUCGUGACAGAUCAAGGAGGUCAUGGGAAUAUUGAUCUUAGAGCCCUCCUGUAGGGCCAUCUGGGACCCGAGAGCGAGAGGAAGUGUUUGAGAGGGACCAGCUGAGGCAGAGGGAGAGGAAGGAAGUGUGAGGCAGGAUGUAUUGAGGUGGAACUGAGAGUAUGGGAGUCAACAGUUCCUGGGUCUUGAAACGAUAAAAGCACGAUGAUGUACCAUUUUCCGUGUAUCUAUUGGCAAAGAUUCAAGAAGUGAUAAUGCUUAAUCUGGAAAAAGGGUAAAGCUGUUGGGGACUGCUAAAAAUCUAGUUUAUGAAUUGACUGGAUGAAACGCUACAUGGUAAACCAAUGAACACAUCUCACAUGCUGAAGUAUUUUUAAGAAGGCUGUCUGGGAAAUCAUGCCACUAUCUUCAGGAGGGGUCAAGAGUGACUUGAAGUGUGGGCAUCUCUUUAAAUCUGCACUCCUUGGCUGGGCACUGGGGACGUGUGCUGUAAGCUAUAAAGAAACAAAGCCCCCCGGGAAAUCGUGCUGGUCAUCCCUUCGAGUGGAGCCCAGAGGCGGGAAAACAUCUGAGCCAAACUUUCUCUUGACUCUGCUCAGAACUCACUGUGGGGUUCUGGGCAUUUCAUUUCCUCACAUGGGCAAUGUUGUGGGCCAUCUUGAUUCCUGGCCCUCCACCCCAAAGAGUAGCCCCCUGCGGUCGCUAAGUAAACUGCGGAAAGCACACAGUGCAGUCAAUCCAGGCUGCGCUGGCAUCUCCUGGGGAGCCUGAAACCAUGCAUGCCGAUGCCUGAGCUCUAGCCCAAGAGUUCUGGUUAACCGGCCUGGGGAGGGGCCUGGACAUCUGUAUUUUGUAAAAGCCAUCCAGGUGAAUCUUAUAGAGCUAAGGGACCCGAGGUUGAGGAGCACUAUGCCAGAGUAGUAAGAUGAACACCAGCUCAGCAGCAGCAGCGCAGCCGCCACCACAGCAACCCCGAGAGCACCCGAAACAGUAACAGAGGAGCCAGCCUUGGCUGGGAGAGUGCCAGGAAAGGAAGAUGCUCGCUUGGAUCCAGGCUCCACCUGGCACUGGCUGGGACCACAGACUCACUCUUCAGUCAAUCAGCAGGCUAGCACACAUUUGUUCAGUGCAUGCUGUGUGCUGCACGGGGCAGCGGACAGGGCAUGCGGAGUAACAGGCCCCAGCCUCCCCUGGACACGCAGAGUCAACAUGACAGAGGUGUGAACCGGAUACAGAGGGCACACAUUCCACCUGGGGUGUGACAGGAAAGACGAAAUAUUAUCGGGGAAGGAGCGGUGGAGGUUGUAGUGGCUGGAUAUCAUUUCAGAAGAACCUGUCAUUUUUCCAGGAGAAGAGACUGUAAGAGGAAAGUCCUGGAGGGUGCGUAGGAUGUCACUCAUUUAGUGGGAUAAAAGCCAGUCUGCAUGAGAAACCGCGCAUUCUGAGCACUGCAGGGGCAGUGCUGGAUUUGUUCAAGGCUGAGAAAGGAUGCCUUAUCCUGGCGAUGCGGUUCACGGCAGGGCGAGCGGCAGUGACGGGGUACUGAGCACACACCUGGGAGCGUGAGAUGAGCGACCCUCACUGGCCAACUGAUCCAUCCCACCAGACUGCAGCCUCAGUUUCUCGGCUUGUAAAAGUUAUAUGAUACUUGCUUUAGAAUAAACUCAUGGGAUGUAGAAUUCAAAAUGAUAAAUAUUUUUAUCAAGUUUCUCCCGACCCCCUAACUUUUAGGGAUUUACUUCUCCCCUUGAAAGCCAGAAAUAGUGGGAGAAACAAGAGAUGUGACUCUAAUAUUACUUGUCUUUACCAACAAUGUUAAUUUCUCUCUAAGGAGCUGGGCAAGUUACAUUGUAUUUGAUUCCUGACUACUGUCUCUAAACCGAGGAUUCAAAUUGUUAGACUCAAUUCAUGACCUUGUUGGAAAUUUCCAGCCAACCCACUGCUCAAUCACCUUAACUAGGAGAAAAUAUUUUAUGAUAUAGUGGAAACAAAUGAUAACAGUGUUGAGAGGGACAAGCUUAACACAGAAUCCAGACUUCACACGUUCACGUGGGGGAGAUAGAAGUCGCGGAGUAGGCUGAUUUCUGAUGACAACCUGAUUUAAUUUGCAAUAUGACUGCAUCAGUGGCUGCUCAAAAAGCUGUUUCCAACAUUUUGCAUCAAUAUAGCAGCUCUGGGAUCCUGAAGAAAUUUGUAUUUGCUGUCUAAGACCGGAAGGGUGGAGGAAUACAGGCCAGCAAGCCCUCGGAUCGACCCCGUACCCACGCCGACGGAGGAGAAGUGGACACGUGCUCAGUUAGAGAAGAGAACGGCACCUGCAGUCACCUGGGGCCAGAGGAUGUGGCAGACGCAUUUCAGCAGGCUUCUCAGUCCCAACAGGUCUCUCGAGAUGCAGAGCAGGCCCAGAGUCUAUGGGGCAUCUGUGGCAUGACUUGGCUGCUCGCUGCGCAGAGGAAGCGUCAAGCAGUCCCAGCCUCACCUGAACCUUUGGGACCUCCCCCUUGUGAGGCCCAGAGUUCAUCUGCUUCUCCGAGGUGUUUCCUGAACCACAGCCAACCUGAGUCCAGGUCAGAGUCCUCCCUCUCUCUACACUGUUACUCUACGUGGCUGCGGUCUUCCUGAGUUCACCGGCGUCCCGCUCAGCCCUGGCCCAGCUCCAGAGAACUGAGGGCUGCUCCGUAACUGGGGAGGGACAGGGAGGGAGGGCAAUGUGAGG
ensembl:lncRNA